rnacentral:rRNA from 1 species
UGGGGGAAUAUUGGGCAAUGGGGGAAACCCUGACCCAGCAACGCCGCGUGAAGGAAGAAGGCUUUCGGGUUGUAAACUUCUUUUACCAGGGACGAAGAAAGUGACGGUAGCUAAGGAGCAAGCCACGGCUAACUACGUGCCAGCAGCCGCGGUAAUACGUAGGUGGCAAGCGUUGUCCGGAAUUACUGGGUGUAAAGGGAGCGCAGGCGGGGGAGCAAGUCAGCUGUGAAAUCUAUGGGCUUAACCCAUAAACUGCAGUUGAAACUGUUCUUCUUGAGUGAAGUAGAGGUCGGCGGAAUUCCGAGUGUAGCGGUGAAAUGCGUAGAUAUUCGGAGGAACACCGGUGGCGA